rfam:Anoxybacillus sp. B7M1, complete genome.
GUUUCAAUCCCUCAUAGUUAAGAUACAAAC